GUCGUUCACAACACUGCUGCUUCUGCUGCUGCUUAGUUAGGCAUUUUAGCUUUGCAGAUAAAGCGCAGAAAGUUGUACAGCUGUAAAAGGCAGCCGCCUCUUGUCUGGAUUAGCACUGCACACAAACGUGUUGUUGGUAAAUGAAAAAUUGGGGCAUUAAUUUUCCACAUUUUCUCAUGUCUACAGGAAUACUGCAAUAAUUACAGCUAAGACUUUGGGACAGUGAAUGAAUCAAGGAGCUUUAAUUUGGUAAUUGAGAAGGGAAAAAUAGAAGCGACACAAAAUCAGGCCUUAUGUUCAACAAUUUGACGGCUGCCAUUUCAGUGAAAUUUUAGGAAUAUCUAGCUAAGGUACAUUUUACCCCCUUAAUUUAUGCGCUUUUAUUUCUGGAGGAUAGGCUUCAUGUUGAUCAUCACUAAUAUUAAAGAUUUUAAGGCAGGAAAUUAUAUAUUGCUUGCAGGAGGAAUCAUAUUAAUUGCAUUUUUUUUUUCCAUUGAACAUAUUUAAUUUAAUUUAGUUUUGAAUUUAACUGUAAGAUGAAUAGUGCCUUCCAUAUCACUCUCAAGAUGUUGAUCAAUAGAUGGAUAUAACUCAUCAUAAAAAAAAAGUGGAUGUGGAUAAGAAUUAUACUUCAGUGCCGGGUUUGAUUUAGUUCAGCAUCUUUUCGUAGUUCAAUGUUGACAGGUUACAACAUAACAUUGUUGCAAGCUAGUGCACUUGUCAAUUAAAGUCAUCACCUCUUAUGUAAGAAAAUAAUAAUUUUAAAUGCUUUUCGCCUGAACCAAUGAUAGUUAUUUGUUGCACAUAUUGCAAUAAUAUUAAUAAUAAUAAGUAUGUUUGAGAAAAUAAAAGCAUUGGAGGAUUGAUCAUGAAUUAGAUUUGAAAAACAGUAGAAAAAUCAUACUUCAAAUUAACUCUAAAUUAAUUAUCUCACUCAAUUGAUUUAAAUUUGACCAUCUGAGUUUAAUUAGUAGCGCUGUUAUAUGGUAGAUUGUUGCUCCCUUACAAUAUGCAACAAGUUUGAAAUGCCAUGCAUAUUUCAUAGCAACAUAUAUAAUGUAUUGCAUGGUUGAGUUUAUAUGGAUUUAAUUUGAUACAUUGUAAAAAUGUUUUUACGUUCAAUUACAAGUAUUGUAUUUUAAUGUUUCAUUUUAUUUAUUAAUGUAUUUAAAUAUCAAAUAAUAUGCUAACAUGAGACAGUGAUACUAAAUGAUAGAAGUGUAAAAAUACUAAAUAUACAAUGGCAUGCAUUAAUGUGUGCGUGUCCGUAGUAAAUUUAGGAGCACUGAUCCUAAUUAGUUGGUUUAAAACCAAAACUUCAAGACCAUAAAAUUUCUUCACAUGCUACUUUUGUAAUCUCAAAAUUUCAUGCAAUAGAAGCAUGAUUAUGUUGGCUUAGUGAUGGUAUUCCAUGUGCCUUUAAAAAGCUAAUUCUUAAAGAUGAUAACAGUGACAGGAGAUUAAUAAUUAUGACAAUGCAUUUUACUGUAAUUAGUCUUUUUUUUAUUACAUAAUCAAGUAUUUAUGAUUUUUUUACUACUUUUAUUUUUAACUUACAAACAUAUAUAGAAUAUGGGGGCAAACUUGGUUAAGAAUAACUGUAAUUAAUGUCACAUUAACAUAACUAUUUUUCGCCAUUAUUACAGUAGACUUUAUUAACAGCUUCUGGAAAAUGUAGAUACCAUUCUGAAAUUAAAUCUACUAUUGAUGAUUAUUUUCGAUUGUUAUAGAUACUGAUGUUGGAAGUUGAAAAGUGGUUUAUUCCAUCCACUAGUCAAUAAAAAAUGAUAAAUUAACUUUAGUAUCUAAAAUAGUUUAUUAUAUACUC